ACUCCCGCUUGCAUGUCUCCUUCUCAUUGGUCCUUCGCCCGGCGUCAUCGUCACCCAAUCACCGCUCCUCCAACUGUGCUGUAUGGUGGUGUAGCCAUGCCCAUGAUCCUGAAUGAAGGAGUCUAUCAAAUCCUACCCAUCCCCCCCUCUCCUCGGAAGCCGAAGAACCCUGAUUUAUUCCAUCGAAAUAUCUCUCUCUUCCUGAAACUGUGUAUUGAUUUCAUAUAUGAUUGUUUUUUCUCCUCGGAAGCCAUCAAAACAGUGAAUGAGAGAGAAGGUGUGUGAGGAAGAGAAGAGAGAGUAGAGGAGGUGGAGGUGGAGGAGGAGGAGGUGGGCGGUUGUGGCGAUAGAAACAUAGAGCGGACGAGCGCCGAAACAUGUCUGCCAUAGUGUGCGGGAAGAGAUCCUCCAUUUUCGAAGACAGUUUGAGCCUGACAGCUAACCCACCCGUCUCCAAGAGAAUCCGCUGCUCCUCUUCCUCGCCCGUUCGCUUCUCCCCGCCCAGGCAAAACAACUCUUCCUUUCCUUCCGCCUCCUCCAAUCACUCCCCGCCGCACUUGAUCGAACAUCUCAAGGCCAUUUUUCCUUACAUGGACAAUAAGGUGCUCGAGAAAGCACUUGGAGAAUGCGGUGAUAAUUUGGAUUCAGCCAUCAGAAGUUUGAAUGAGCUUCAUAUAGGAUAUACUGAUAAUAACCUAGACUCUGCUUCAGCCAAAUUUGAUGUUACACCGGAAGCCAAUGUUCAAUCACGAGGUGCAGAGAUUGCCAAUGGGGAAGUUGGGGCUAGUGAGGAGCUAUCAGCUCCACAGGACCCUCCCAUGGAUGGUGCUGACUGGGUGGAGCUGUUCGUUAGAGAAAUGAUGAGUUCUUCCAAUGUAGAUGAUGCUAGAGCUCGUACUUCUAGAGUGCUUGAGGUUUUGGAGAGAUCCAUCCGUGCACGUUCAAGUGCAAGUGCAGAGGCAGCCCAAACCAUUCACCAGGAAAAUAUGAUGCUGAAGGAACAAGUGGAAUCACUUAUUCAGGCAAAUACAAUUCUCAAGCGAGCAGUGUCUAUUCAACAUGAUCGUCAGAAAGAGAAUGAAGAAAGGAGCCAGGAGUUGCUACAUCUGAAGCAACUGGUGUCACAAUACCAGGAGCAAUUGAGAACACUAGAGGUUUAGCACACAAAUCCAUCAAAUCUAAAGUCUAUAUUUGAUCCAAUGAAUAAACUAAAUUUCAGCAUGUUUUUGGUGUCAGCAGUGGACUAUGCUGUUUGGAAUGGAAAUUUCUAUCAAAGUGAACAACUAUGCAUUGACAAUGCACCUGAAGCAGUCUCGGCAAAGCAACUCCAUCCCAGGACGUUUCCACCCCGAUGUCUUUUAGUGAACCUUGGAUACAUUAAUUUGGCCUUGGGGAUGGUUAGUGAGUGUGCUUUCAAGCACUGCUAAGAAGGUAUUACGACUUAUCUCUAGGCACUUGAAAUGGUGGUCUGCUGUGCUAAUUGGGGCUUUUGGCGUGCUGGGGCUUCCUAUUUUAUAUCCAAAUGGAAGGGGCAGUGGUGAAAGACAGCAUUUAGUUUCAUUUGAAUACGUUGUUAAGGCUUACUUAUCUUUUCCAUUUGUGCCCUCAAUUUUAUAAGAAUUUAAUACACGUAGGUGCUUGUAUGUGUAUGUCGAGACGUUUUAAUUUCAUUAAUAAAGAGAUUUAUGGUGCUCA